UACUCACUGCUCCUAAGUUUGGUGAGUUUGAGAAGGUUUUUGCACUAUGAAUGCGAAAAAUACUCAUGAUAACGAGACUAAUCUAUUUUGUGGCCUGUGGAAAUUGUUGUGGGAGAAAACAGCGUCUGGGAAUCAAGCAGAAUCAGUGUGGCGUCAGGCUCACCUAGAAGAAGGCUGAAUGAACGCUGGACAAACUCUUCUUCUUCUUCGUCUUCUUUUCUUCGUCCUUUUCUUCUUCUUCUUCUUCUUCUUCUUCUUCUUCUUCUUCUUCUUCUUCUUCUUCUUCUUCUUCUUCUUCUUCUCCUUCUUCUUCUUCUUUUCUUCGUCUUCUUUUCUUCGUCCUUUUCUUCUUCUUCUUCUUCUUCUUCUUCUUCUUCUUCUUCUUCUUCUUCAUCUUUUCUUCGUCCUUUUCUUCUUCUUCUUCUUCUUCUUCUUCUUCUUCUUCUUCUUCUUCUUCUUCUUCUUCUUCUUCUUCUUCUUCUUCUUCUUCUUCUUCUUUUCUUCGUCUUCUUUUCUUCGUCCUCUUUUCUUUCUCUUUCUUUUUCUUCUUUUUCUUCUUCUUCUUCUUCUUCGUAUUCUUUUCUUCGUCCUCUUCUCUUUCUUCUCCUUCUCCUUCUUCCCCUUUUUUCUCUUUCUCCCUCAAACUUCUUAUCAUUAACGAAAUCAUCAUCAUCAUCAUUUCCAUCAUCACUAGUGCAAAUCAUAACAGGAGGAGGGUGCAGAAACAGGAGACGAGGAUAGAUAAAAGGGAGGUCUUCGUAGAUUAACAGGAGGGGGGUACAGAAACAGGAGACGAGGAUAGAUAAAAGGGAGGUCUUCGUAGAUUAACAGGAGGGGGGUACAGAAACAGGAGACGAGGAUAGAUAAAAGGGAGGUCUUCGUAGAUUAACAGGAGAAGGGUACAGAAACAGGAGACGAGGAUAGAUAAAAGGGAGGUCUUCGUAGAUUAACAGGAGGGGGGUACAGAAACAGGAGACGAGGAUAGAUAAAAGGGAGGUCUUCGUAGAUUAACAGGAGAAGGUGUAGAAACAGGAGACGAGGAUAGAUAAAAGGGAGGUCUUCGUAGAUUAACAGGAGAAGGGUGUAGAAACAGGAGACGAGGAUAGAUAAAAGGGAGGUCUUCGUAGAUUAACAGGAGAAGAGUACAGAAACAGGAGACGAGGAUAGAUAAAAGGGAGGUCUUCGUAGAUUAACAGGAGAAGGGUGUAGAAACAGGAGACGAGGAUAGAUAAAAGGGAGGUCUUCGUAGAUUCAUAUUGAUGUUCAGACGACACAUACUCUGAAUCACGAGCCUCUCAUACCCUGACUCACACCCUGACUCACAUAACAUGACUCGCAUAAGUUGACACCCAUUCCUAACCCGGUAGCAGCGACGGGCUAGAUUUGUGGCUCUACCGUGUACCAGUGACGGGCCACACUUUUGCCAUGAUAUAAGCCCCCCCAAAAUAGAUGAUGCAUAAACUGAUCACAAAUGCGUUGAUAUGUAUUAUGAAAUGGUUUGCGUGAAUGAUGAUUUUUCUCAUUUUUCUCGCUUAGAGGGACCUUUAAGAAACAUGAUCCCCGCUGCUACGGGGUUAGUGAAACGCCAAUAAUAACACGUGGGUACUCUACACGUGACUCAGCUAUUAUGGACGGAGGAGAACGAAAAAAAGGAAGAAGAGAGCGAAGAAGAGAAGGGAAAAGAGAAACAGAAGUGAAAUCGGGGAAGAGAAAGAGGAGAAAAGAAGGAAAAGAGGACAAGGAGAUAAGAAAAAGGGGAAAGGCGAAUGUAAAUCCCCCUAUAGAACACCAGAGGGGAGAGAAGAAGGGGAGAAGAGGGAGGAAACAAGAAGAGAGAGGUAAGGGGAGUGUAGUAGAGGGGAGAAGAGAGAAGGGAUGAUAAAGAGGGGAUGCAAAAGGGAACGUGUGAUCAGGGGAUGAGUGGUGGUGGUGGUGGUGGCCAGGUGGUGGUGGUGGUGGUGGUGGUGAGGAGGGCGAGAGAUUAAGUGUGGUUGUGAUUGGUAGUGUGUUGUUUGUGGUCACGUUGUGAGAACAAGAGCGUGGGAGGAGGAGGAGGAGGACACAAGAAAAGGAGAUAACAGAAAGCAAGUUGUCAUAUUAUUAAUCUAGGAGGAGGAGGAGGAGGAGGAGGAGGAGGAGGACACAAGGAAAGGAGAUAACAGAAAGCAAGUUGUCAUAUUAUUAAUCUAAGAGGAGGAGGAGGAGGAGGAGGAGGACACAAGGAAAGGAGAUAACAGAAAGCAAGUUGUCAUAUUAUUAAUCUAAGAGGAGGAGGAGGAGGAGGAGGAGGAGGAGG